rnacentral:rRNA from 1 species
CUACGGGCCGCUGCAGUCAAGAACAUUCGACAAUGGGCGAAAGCCUGAUCGAGCGACGCCGCGUGCAGGAAGAAGCCCUUAGGGGUGUAAACUGCUUUUGCCGCCGAAAAAUUUUGAUGGUAGGCGGAGAAUAAGGGGUUCCUAACUUCGUGCCAGCAGGAGCGGUAAUACGAAGACCCCAAGCGUUAUCCGGAAUUACUGGGCGUAAAGCGCGAGCAGCCGGUUGUAUUAGUCCGAUGUCAAAUUUCAUUGCUUAACGAUGAGGCUGCAUUGGAAACGGUACAACUUGAGCGGCUGAGAGGCACACGGAACGUGCAGUGUAGGGGUGAAAUCCAUUGAUAUUGCACGGAACACCAAAAGCGAAGGCAGUGUGCUGGCGGUCUGCUGACGGUCAAUCGCGAAAGCGUGGGGAUUGAAAAGGAUUAGAUACCCUCGUAGUC